rnacentral:rRNA from 1 species
ACUCAAAGGAAUUGACGGGGACCCACACAAGCAGUGGAUCAUGUGGUUUAAUUCGACAAUAAACGAGGAACCUUACCCAGGCUUGACAUGUAGAGAAGGAUUGAGAAAUCAGUUCGUGCCCGCAAGGGAACUCUAACACAGGUGCUGCAUGGUUGUCGUCAGCUCGUGCCUUGAGGUGUUCGGUUAAGUCCGUUAACGAGCGCAACCCAUAUCGUUAGUUACUAUGUCUAACGAGACUGCCCGAGUUAAUCGGGAGGAAGGUGUGGAUGACGUCAAAUCAGCAUGGCCCUUAUGCCUGGGGCCACACACAUGAUACAAUGGUCGGUACAAUGAGCAGCGAUGGAGUAAUCCGGAGCAAAUCUCAUCAAAGCCGAUCUCAGUCCAGAUUGAGGUCUGCAACUCGACCUCAUGAAGUUGGAAUUGCUAGUAAUCGUGAAUCAGCUAUGUCACGGUGAAUAUGUUCCUGGGUCUUGUACACACCGCCCGU